GUGCCAGCAGCCGCGGUAAUUCCAGCGCCAAUAGCGUAUAUUAAAGUUGUUGUGGUUAAAAAGCUCGUAGUUGAACCUUGGGCCUGGCUGGCCGGUCCGCCUCACCGCGUGCACUGGUCCGGCCGGGCCCUUCCCUCUGUGGAACCCCAUACCCUUCACUGGGCGUGGCGGGGAAACAGGACAUUUACUUUGAAAAAAUUAGAGUGCUCCAGGCAGGCCUAUGCUCGAAUACAUUAGCAUGGAAUAAUAAAAUAGGACGCGCGGUUCUAUUUUGUUGGUUUAUAGGACCGCCGUAAUGAUUAAUAGGGACAGUCGGGGGCAUCAGUAUUCAACUGUCAGAGGUGAAAUUCUUGGAUCAGUUGAAGACUAACUACUGCGAAAGCAUUUGCCAAGGAUGUUUUCAUUAAUCAGGAACGAAAGUUAGGGGAUCGAAGACGAUCAGAUACCGUCGUAGUCUUAACCAUAAACUAUGCCGACUAGGGAUCGGACGGUGUUAUUCAUGACCCGUUCGGCACCUUACGAGAAAUCAAAGUGCUUGGGCUCCAGGGGGAGUAUGGUCGCAAGGCUGAAACUUAAAGAAAUUGACGGAAGGGCACCACCAGGGGUGGAGCCUGCGGCUUAAUUUGACUCAACACGGGGAAACUCACCAGGUCCAGACACAAUAAGGAUUGACAGAUUGAGAGCUCUUUCUUGAUUUUGUGGGUGGUGGUGCAUGGCCGUUCUUAGUUGGUGGGGUGACUUGUCUGCUUAAUUGCGAUAACGAACGAGACCUUAAACCUGCUAAAUAGCCCGCAUUGCUUCGGCAGUGGCGCUGGCCUUCUUAGAGGGA
rnacentral:rRNA from 1 species